rnacentral:rRNA from 1 species
GACGAACGCUGGCGGCGUGCUUAACACAUGCAAGUCGAACGGUAAGGCCCUUCGGGGUACACGAGUGGCGAACGGGUGAGUAACACGUGGGUGAUCUGCCCUGCACUUCGGGAUAAGCCUGGGAAACUGGGUCUAAUACCGGAUAGGACCACUGCCUGCAUGGGUGGUGGUGGAAAGCUUUUGCGGUGUGGGAUGGGCCCGCGGCCUAUCAGCUUGUUGGUGGGGUGAUGGCCGACCAAGGCGACGACGGGUAGCCGGCCUGAGAGGGUGACCGGCCACGCUGGGACUGGGAUACGGCCCGGACUCAGACGGGAGGAAGCAGUGGGGAAUAUUGCACAAUGGGCGCAAGAGUGAUGCAGCGACGCCGCGUGAGGGAUGACGGCCUUCGGGUUGGAAACCUCUUUCAGCACCGACGAAGCGCAAGUGACGGUAGGUGCAGAAGAAGGGCCGGCCAACUACGUGCCAGCCGCCGCCGUAA